AUCUCUAUCAACAUAAUCACACACGAUAUUGUAGUAACAAUAUAUAGUAAUUUUUAUUUGCUGGAAAAUGACAAUCAGUCAAAUUUGUGUUUUUAGCACACCUGACACAUCCCUAAACCGGAAAUUUAAAGCAGAACGUGCACCACUUGCAGGUUAUUGUAGCAUAUGUAAGAUCACUGCCAUAUGCAUCAUUUAUUUUUGCACUGUUAAUCAAUUUUACAUUUUCACUUCAAUGUAAGGAAGAUACUGUACUACAGAUAUUUAAAUCUUUUUUUUGUAUCUACUCCACUUUUUCACUGCCUGACCAUCAUCUUAAUGUUUAUGCAGUUCAAUGUUUUUAUUAUUUUUUAUAUCUAAAGCACCUUGUUCAAUAAGUAUUUAGAUGUUCCUCAUAUCUGUCAGGGUCUAAGCAUGAUCUGUUUCUGUUUUUCUGAUGAAGGAAACUUGUGUUGGGGAGGAUUCAGUGUCUGUUGAGGCCCAUGUGAAUGUGCUACAAAGUGAGUAUCAGAAACACCUCCAGACACCUGGACUGUCAAAGAGCACACGGCAGGAACAUUCUCCUGGAGACGCUGAGAAAGCACGGAAGGAAUGUCUGUGGAGGAUGUACUCAAACACACUCAUACUUAAGGACACCUGCUGGAGUAUGAUUGACUGGAAGUCUGUCAGUCCAGGUGUGAGGAAGACACACAGAGUGAGUUUGAGCUCAGCAGGUGUGAUGGCUGUGGAUGCAUCUACAGAAACACCACUGGAUACUGUAGCCAUGGAAAGAAGGGGGUCUUCACAGCUUUCUAUUCAGACAAAGAGUUUGCUGGAUUCUGUUCUAUGGACUGCUACUACAGAAUGAAUGAAUGAGUGGUUUAUCUAUCUAUCCAUCUAUCUAUCUGUCUAUCUAUCUAUAAUUUUUUUUUUUUACUUGAAUUGGCGACUGAAACUGAAAGCUAAAUAAAUGUUUUAGUGGAUAAAGCUGUGUCUGUUUG
ensembl:lncRNA